rnacentral:lncRNA from 1 species
AAAGGCUUGCUGAUAGCGUUCACAGUGACAGCCCGAAAGUAUGAUUCUAAGGGCCAUGGGUCUGGAUUUCCAGGAAAGCGGAGACCUCGAGGUGCAGGACUGUCGGGGCGAGGUGGCCGAGGCAGGUCAAAGCUGAAAAGUGGAAUCGGAGCUGUUGUAUUGCCUGGGGUGUCUACUGCAGAUAUUUCAUCAAAUAAGGAUGAUGAAGAAAACUCUGUGCUCGAUAUGGUUGUGUUGUUUUCUAGCAGUGACAAGUUCACUUUGAAUCAGGAUAUAUGUGUAGUUUGUGGCAGUUUUGGCCAAGGAGCAGAAGGAAGAUUACUUGCCUGUUCUCAGUGUGGUCAGUGUUACCAUCCAUACUGUGUCAGUAUUAAGGUGUGUUUGGUGCAGACACUGUGGAGCAACAUCUGCAGGUCUAAGAUGUGAAUGGCAGAACAAUUACACACAGUGCGCUCCUUGUGCAAGUUUAUCUUCCUGUCCAGUCUGCUAUUGAAACUAUAGAGAAGAAGAUCUUAUUCUGCAAUGAAGACAAUGUGAUAGACAGAGUCUUGCUCUGUCGCCAGGCUGGAGUGCAUCGGCGCUAUCUCGGCUCACUGCAAACUCCACCUCCGCCUCCUGGGUUCAAGCGAUUCUCCUGCCUCAGCCUCCGGAGUAGCAGGGACUACAGAUGGAUGCAUGCAGUUCGUCAGAACUUAAAUACUGAGGAAGAAGUGGAAAAUGUAGCAGACAUUGGUUUUGAUUGCAACAUGUGCAGACCCUAUAUGCCUGCGUCUAAUGUGCCUUCCUCAGACUGCUGUGGAUCUUCACUUGUAGCACAAAUUGUCACAAAAACCCACCCAAGACUUAUACCCAGGAUGGUGUGUGUUUGACUGAAUCAGGGAUGACUCAGUUACAGAGCCUCACAGUUACAGUUCCAAGAAGAAAACUGUCAAAACCAAAACUGAAAUUGAAGAUUAUAAAUCAGAAAUAGCGUGGCCGUCCUUCAGACACCUCCAGACAUCCAAUCAGAACAUUCAAGGGAUGGUGAUAUGGAUGAUAGUCGAGACACAGCCGCUGUCGCUGCCAUCUGGCGCGCCGCAGACUCCCGAGAACAGCCCUGGCUGUCAGCGGGCACCAGCCGCUUCCUGUGCCCAUCGCGUAGACUG